AUUGAACGCUGGCGGAAUGCUUUACACAUGCAAGUCGAACGGCAGCACGGACUUCGGUCUGGUGGUGAGUGGCGAACGGGUGAGUAAUGUAUCGGAACGUGCCCAGUCGUGGUGGAUAACGUAGUGAAAAUUACGCUAAUACCCCAUACGAUCUAUGGAUGAAAGCGGGGGAUCGCAAGACCUCGCGCGAGUGGAGCGGCUGAUAUCAGACUAGGUAGUUGGUGGGGUAAAGGCCCACCAAGCCAACGAUCUGUAGCUGGUCUGAGAGGACGACCAGGCACACUGGAACUGAGACACGGUCCAGAUUCCUACGGGAGGCAGCAGUGGGGAAUUUUGGACAAUGGGCGAAAGCCUGAUCCAGCCAUUCCGCGUGCAGGAUGAAGGCCGUCGGGUUGUAAACUGCUUUUGUACAGAACGAGAAGGUUUCUACUAAUACUAGGAGCUCAUGGCGGUACUGUAAGAAUAAGCACCGGCAAACUACGUGCCAGCCGCCGCCGUAA
rnacentral:rRNA from 1 species